rnacentral:rRNA from 1 species
UACGGAGGGUGCAAGCGUUAUCCGGAAUGAUUGGGCGUAAAGGGUCCGCAGGUGGCAGUGUAAGUCUGCUGUCAAAGAAUGAGGCUUAACCUCAUCAAGGCAGUGGAAACUACACAGCUAGAGUACGGUCGGGGUAGAAGGAAUUCCUGGUGUAGCGGUGAAAUGCGUAGAGAUCAGGAAGAACACCGGUGGCGAAAGCGCCUUGCUGGACCUGCACUGACACUGAGGGACGAAAGCUAGGGGCGCGAAAGGG